GUCGCUCAGCCAGUAGGGUGGCUCGGCUUGUAACCGAGUGGGUUCGGGUUCGAAUCCCGAGUCAGACA